rnacentral:rRNA from 1 species
CCUACGGGAGGCAGCAGUGAGGAAUAUUGGUCAAUGGCCGAGAGGCUGAACCAGCCAAGUCGCGUGAAGGAAGAAUGUCCUCUGGAUUGUAAACCUCUUUUUUCAGGGAGCAAAGUCACCCACGUGUGGGUGUUUGAGAGUACCUUAACAAAAAGCAUCGGCUAACUCCGUGCCAGCAGCCGCGGUAAUACGGAGGAUGCGAGCGUUAUCCGGAUUUAUUGGGGUUAAAUGGUGCGUAGGCGGGUUAUCAAGUAAGCGGGAAAAUCGUGGAGUUAAACUCCAUCCAGCCGUUGAAACUGAUGAUCUUGAGUGGGCGAGAAGUAUGCGGAAUGCGUGGUGUAGCGGUGAAAUGCAUAGAUAUCACGCAGAACUCCGAUUGCGAAGGCAGCAUACCGGAGACCGACUGACGCUGAAGCACGAAAGCGUGGGUAUCGAACAGGAUUAGAUACCCGAGUAGUC